rnacentral:ncRNA from 1 species
UAGAGUCGUGUUCUUUGAGAUUGGAGCACAAAUGUGUGUGAUACAUUUCACAUAAAGCUAAAUAUUUGUAGGAGACCGAUAGCAAACAAGUACCGUGAGGGAAAGAUGAAAUAGUACUCAGGAAUGAGGUUUAAAUAGUACCUGAAAUCGUUAAGAUGGAACGGAUUGAGAGAGAAAUAACGUAAGAUGGGAUUUAUUUCUAUGUUUCUUUUGGAUUCAUGUUUUAAUUUCUAUCUUAUUAAAAGGAGCAUCAGUGAAUUUUUGCAUUUGCAUUAUAGUUAAAGGGUUAUUUUUGCUUAUGUAAAGAUAUCGCAUUUCCUUCCGCUAAUAUGGUUGGAAAAAUAACUAUUAUUGCUUGCUAUGUUUACUGAGGAUAUCAAUUAGCUGGGGUUGCCCCUGUUAAUUUAUGUUGCUUCUAAAAAGUACUUUCUUAACCCACUCGUCUUGAAACACGGACCAAGGAGUCUAACAAAUGUGCGAGCGUAUAUAUGUUACGAACUAUAACAGAGAAUGAAAAUUCUUAUAUUUACGCGUAAUUAAUGUAAUUAAUUGGUAGAUCUUUAGGGUGUUUCCCUAAUUUGCAUACCAUGCCGGUUGGCGAUUAUGCUUAAUUGAGUAUGAGUAUAUUUGUUAGGACCCGAGAGGCUUUGAACUAAGCGUGAUGAGAUUGAAGUCAGACGAAAGUCUGAUGGAGGAUCGAAUUGAUACUGACGUGCAAAUCGUUCAUUUCAAUCACGUUUAGGGGCGAAAGACUAAUCGAAAAGCCUAUUAGCUGGUUAUUUUCGAAAGAUCUCUCAGGAUCGCUGGAGUUGAUUAAUAUAGUUUUACGAGGUAGAGAUAAUGAUUAGAGGAAUCAGGGAAAUCGUUUUCCUUGACCUAUUCUCAAACUCCCAAUACGUAAUAAGGGAUUAAUAUCUUUAUUGUAUUUUUCCCACUAUAAAUAAGAUAACUCCAAGUGGGCCAUUUUUGGUAAGCAGAACUGGCGAUGAGGGAUGCUCCUAACGCUUGGAUAAGGUGCCUAAAUAUUCGCUCAUGAGAUCCCAUAAAAGGUGUUGGUUCAUAAUGACAGUAGGACGGUGGUCAUGGAAGUCCAAAUUCCCUUAAGG